rnacentral:lncRNA from 1 species
CCUGUGUUGUGUUAUGGGUGGCAUUUCAAUGAAAUUCACCAACACAGUCAGCAUUAGUAUUAAAGAUUCUUUUAUCAAAUCCUGAAAAUUGACAGCUUUUUUUUUUUUUUUUUCUGUUAAUCAUAACCAUUGAUGUCACAAGUAAGAUAUAUUUGGUUGGGUCUUCAGAUUUCACUCAAGAUAACUAGUGCAACUAAAACUUAAAUCUGGUAUGCAUAUCUGAAGUAAUCCAAAAAUACAUACAUGCCACCAUAGUAUUUUUAUUUCUAGUACUUCACUGCUUGCGUUCAUUACAGUAGUCUGCCUUGUACUUGUUUGAAGUUCAUUUGCAUUUUAGGGCCUGUAAUAUUUUUGGAAAUGUGAUUUUAAUUUACAUACUGCUGCAGUUCCAGUUUUCAUAUGAGGAAGUUUCACUUUCCUCAUUUUGUGUCCAAAUUAUUAGUGAGCAUGGUUUGGCUGCUCCAAAUUGGUUACCUUUUUAGCCCUUCUCUAAUUCCUGAUUACUCCUACUGAUACAGUAUUUUGGACAGAGAUGGUGAGGCUUGAGUGCCUGAGGAAGUUUUUGUGUACAUCGGUGUAUAACUUACAUAAACACGAGGGAGUGCAUUAAAGUACUCUUUGUACCAAAAUCACUACAAUGAGCUCUAGUGAUUAUGUUGCCUGGCAUAUCAUGUCAAUGUAAUAUUACAGUUAAAUGAAAGACUAACAUGUACUAAUACUAGUUUUCCAAUUUGAUGAAUGUAUUAGCAAGCGAACAUCAUUUUGGGAGCCCAACAGAAAAGCAUAAGAACCACACAUCUGUAAUACAUUACAUGGGGCUGGAUUGAGGGCUAUUUUCAGACUGAAGUGUUCCUUUAGUUAUAUGCAAUGUCAAAUUUUAUAACCUGAAUUAUAUUUAAUUUUAAAGUUAUCAAAUGACAGCUACUAAAUGAGUUUUUAAAGUAUGAGGUAAUGCAACUAAGAAUUUUUGAGACCAAUUACUUGCUGUUUGGUUGCAGUCACACAUACAUUGUCUACUGAAAGGAGCAUGAUCGAAUCAUUUUACAAGUACCCAGUUAAAUACCACAACCAUAAGUGAGCUUCCUAGAACCUGUCUAGAAUCCAAUUUAAAGAGUACUUGUCAUGACAAAUGCAACUUAAUCUUAAAUGAUAAUCAAAUUUCAUCUAUGUUUUGGUAGCAUUAUUGCUAGCAAAAUCUAGAUUUCUCUAAAAUUACAGGUUGAAAAAUAGCUCUAUCUUCCUCUUCAGUCAGUGUCGAUCAGCACAUAAGAAGGCUGUGCUCUGUAUGUAUGUCAUCAAGGAAACCCUCCUCUUGGCCUACCUCCUGCUUGAAUUCUUUCUAAGGGAAAGCAAUGCCUGCAAGGGGAAGUGGAGAGAAGGGUGAGAGCAGCAUCUUCAUGUAGAGCAUGGAGACUCUGCCUGUGAAGUACUUAAACAGGAAGCACCUCUAGUGGCCGUGUGAGUGAAAAGGCAGCAUUUACUUUUAAAAACAUGCAGAGACAUACUAUAGACACUAGAAUGACUACAUUAGGCUGUAGUGGUUCUGGUGACUAGUGUCCCUUUAACGGUAUACCACAAGUCAAGCCAGAUGGUUAGAAACCUGUAAACCUAUAUCUAUCAUGACCUGUUAACUGUAGUCUGUUACGGUGUGGCAUGUGAUCCAUACAUUUCUGUGUUCUGAGCUGAGAAUGGUAAAUGUGCGGUUCCUCAUCAGUACAGCAAAACUUUAUUUACGGUGUUCUGUUUUUGUGUGCUCUAUGUGAGAGUAGAAUGUAAAAUACCUUAAAAAGCCUAAUUUAUUAUAGUUCAUUAAAAUUAGUCUGUCUUUAAAAAAAAAAAAAGUCUUAACUCCUGUGGUCUGUGAAGGAAAUAGCCUUAAUUCUGAGCAAUGUUUCCACAGAACUGCCUGAACAUUUGUGCUGUAAUGUCAGAUUCUCAGUGAACCCAGUAGAAGAGUUUCAUGUAUUUGAAUAUCCAUUGCUUUACCUAUGGUGCUUUGUUCAUCUCUAAAUUAGAUUCAUGGAGUGCAUUCUACCUCUUGGUUUUGGUCAAGCCGUUUUUAACUCCAUUGUAUGCCAUUCAUUGCAAAUAUUUAAUCAGUGGAUUAUGGAUAAUGUAUUUGUGAGUUGAUUGUGUUUUUCAAAGAAUUGCAGGUUUCAUUUCAAGUGUUCCUUUAAUUAGUUUGUUAGGAAAUCAGGUUUCUUCAGGCUAGAAUUGGUUGCUUUGUAUAAUUUGCAUCUACACUAAGGCUGCCAAGAUAUGAUUCCAAACAAUCUCCAAAAGUGUGCAUUCUUCUGUUGCUUAGAAUAGUUUUUGAAUAUACAAGAGUUUACAUCUUUUUCAUGGAACAAAGAGUAUGCAGGUCUGUUCCUUGAUUGGGGCGCUUAACUGUAACAAAACAUAGGUACUUGAAGUGCCCAGAGAGCCCCUUCUGAGGACUAGUGACAAUCCAUGCCAUGAUGGACAUAGUGCCCACUUCCAUCAUCUGCCCUACAGAUCCGUGCUAUAGGGGUACUAUUAAAUGGUGAAGUUUGUUUAAAAAAAAAAAAACCAGAACUACCCCAAAGCAUUAAUGUUGUAAUGAACAUGUCCUGGUGUCACUUUAUAGAACUUGGUUUCAUGCUUGGCAAUUGCUUGUGUGUGUGUGUGUGUGUGUGUGU